rnacentral:lncRNA from 1 species
AAGGUCUCCCAGAGCAGAACCGUUACUGCAGCACUCUUAAUGCUUAAGCUGUGGAGUGAAAAUGUCCUGAAGGAAACAGACCACUUUCCAAUAAGCUAUUGGAGUCCUAGGUCCUAAGUCCUUCUAGGUAGGCCAUAAAGCACUCCUUGCUCUCAGGGAAAGCUAUUUACACUCAGCACCUGUAGAAGAACAAGUGGGAUUGGAAGAGACACAGAGCCACCAACAUCCAAGUCUACUUUCUCCACACCUAACAAAGGUAGGCUAAAAGCAGUUAAUACACAGAAUGUUUUUGAAAGCAGAACCCCUAGUUUGCCUGAAUACCAACAGGUAGGGAGAGUGAGAUUAAUGCAGGCGAUAAGAAAAAGAACUGUUUUCCAGUUUUGUUUGUUUAGUAGCUGUGAAGUGAGGGAGGGAGAACUGUAGAUAUGAGAGGACUGAGGAAGAGCAUAUUUGUUUGCAGUAUUUUUUUUGCUCUGUGUGAGAACACUGAGGAAGAGGGUGUUAGCUCUUGAUGCCAUAAAAGAAAACAGCUCUGUAGUGAAAUUGCAGAUGAAAGCAUCUGUUUGGAAGGGGUGUGUGUACAGAGGUUGGAAGGUGGUGGCAGUUGUAAAGAUCUUGUGUUAGCAGCAGAUGGCUUGUUUUCACAUCUCAUGAAGGAAUCACUGUUACAUCCAGGUCUCACAGAGGGUAAAUUAUUUUACUUAUUUAGAAAUCCUAAUGAAAAUAUCAACAUAUGCUUGAUUCUUUUCAGAAAUUCUCUCCCUUUAAUCAUUUUCCAUCGAGAGAGCCUGUCUUUUCUUCUGCUUCUUUCAGUUUUUUUCUAGGGAGCAUCUGGACUACUCUUCUGCAUAUAGAAUGAUUAGCA